UACGGGGGGGGCAAGCGUUGUUCGGAAUUACUGGGCGUAAAGGGUUUGUAGGUGGCCCGCUAAGUCACACGUGAAAUCCCUCAGCUUAACUGGGGAACUGCGUGUGAGACUGGCAGGCUCGAGGGCAGGAGAGGAACGCGGAAUUCCAGGUGUAGCGGUGAAAUGCGUAGAUAUCAAGAGGAACACCUGCGGCGAAGGCGGGUUGCUGGGCCGACACUGACGCUGAGGCGCGAAAGCCAGGGGAGCGAACGGG
rnacentral:rRNA from 1 species